CUCGUGGCUCAGGUUAUUUCUGAGAAAAUAAUCUGAUUUGUGAGAUUAUUUACUCAAAGAUGAUAAUUUUGUCCAAAUUAGAUUACACAAUGGUUCAUGUAAAAUUCAUGAUCUAAUUAUGGGAUUUCAUGGAAAAAUCUUGAAUAUUCCAUAAUUUUUCUCGAAAAAGUCCAAAAUUUGAAUUUUUCUGCGUUCUGUUUUUCUGUUUACUUCAUAUUACCUCGAGUUUUAGAUAUAAUAUAUUCAUGUCGACAUUGUCAGGUUGAUCAGAUAUUGAAUUAAUCAAUGAUUUAUUAACCAAAGUACCUAAGGAUAGUUGAUAAAAAUCGAUUGUUGGAUGAGUCGAUUUUUUAUCGAUCACGUAUGCCCAUUCUAUCGAUUUUUACCCCUUCAAAAUCGAUUUCUCAGAGGAUCGCAUAUUUAAGCCGAUUUUAGAUCGAAAAUCGAUAGCAUUAUUUUGCUUCCAAUAGACACAUGCAAUCGGUGUAAUAUUUGUUAAUCAAAUCGUAUUUAAAAUCUAGACAAUUCAUAAGAAACUAAUAUAAAUCGAUUGUUAUCUCAUGUUAUAAAUCGAUUUUUCCAUUGAAUGCUAAUCUUGUAGUCCUUGAAAUUGAAACUGAUGAGCUAAUGCAUGUAAUUCAUGUAGUUAUCAUGAUCGUCAAUUUAUUAAUAUUACAGUAAUGACCAACUCGCUCUAAUCUUGACCAUUUAUACAAACACAUUAGCAAAAAUGGAGUAACAUUUUCCUCAAGAUAAUCAUUGUGCUUUAAUAAGGUUUAAUGGAUCAAAAUUACAAUAAAAGUUAAUAAAAGCUCAAGAGAUUGUGUUUAUGAGAAUGAAAUAAUAAUGGCAACAAUAAAAUUAUCUAAAUGUUUGCA